AUGAAUACCUGAUUGUCACUAUUUGAUGAUGUUUCAAUUUUAGCUGAGCUAAAAGCUAAACCUAUGUUUCUGCAGUAGAUCUGCGAAACUCAGAAAAGUGAUAAUGAGUUACAAGCUAAGUGGGUACAGUGUGAAAUGACUUCUAAUUCAAAAUUUCAAAUUGGAUCUGAUGAUUUAGGGAAAACAAUUAUUUUUUAUGGCCGAUCAUCAGUUCCGCUUAUUUUGCAGGUUCAUGUUCUGUUGUGAUUGGAAUCAAUAGGAGUUCAAUUUGUAAUGCAAUCUGUUGACGAGAGUAAGGAAAAGAAGACGAAUUUGAAACAAUCAAGAUCACUAUCCCUGCACGAUAUGCCCGUGACUGACAGCCCUUCUACGCAAACCCUUGACCAUUACGCAAACCCUUUUAUAAAAAUUAUUGAAUGAAUAAUAUCAAAUGCAAUAGGCUGUAAUUGUUUGAUUUUUACCUGGUUUCAAUAUACUGUGUGUGUGGCAAAUUAGAUUUUUACCCCCUUGUCUUGAAUAUGACAUUAUUUUUAAUGAAUUGCAGACUCAUGGACUUGCUGAAUAUAUAGCUCAGGAAGAGAUGGAUAGAAAAACUGGGUAUUGGUGGUCACUUGAUGGCAAAUUCAUUACAUUUACUGAGGUUGAUUAUUCCGAGAUACCUCUUUUUAGAAUUAUGCACCAAGCCUCAGAUUGAGAAAGUAUACUCUUCUUACUUGGAACUGAAACUUGAGGAUGUUGACCCUGUAUAUCAGGGCCCAAGAGGUAAAAGUUUUCCAGACAUAAAAAUUGGAACAUUUUGUAACAUGAAAAACUGUCUUAUUUCUAAUAUUCCAAAUGUGGCAUGUUUGAAUUUGACUACUUUAUUGCGGGCCGCAUAAUCGAGUUCCUCUGCAAGAAAUGAAAGCAGAUUGGCAUGCUUGCUUAGACAACAGAGUUGGAUUCAAGGUAUUGAUCUCUAUAAUUUAGGUUAGGCUCUGUAAUAUACUUCUGUUUAGUUGCUUCUUAUGUUUAUCAUUGGAGAUUUUAGAACUUUAAUUGAAUUAUUUAAAGUGGCUUAAUUUUUAAUUUUGCAAGUUUUUGUUGAUCAGCAAUUUAUUUAUUUUCUGUGUGUAGUAUUUUUCUAUAUUUUUUUUAUCUUUCAUCAUGCUAUCCCUUGCACCGCAGUUAACAAAUUGCUUGUGGAAUUUGUAAUUUGCCUUAUCUUUUUUUAUCUCAUUUUAUGUCUUUCAUAACUGGAAUUGUUAUAAUACUUCUUAUCUUGUGUAAAAGACUGCAAAGGUCUCAGUCUCUUUAAUUCGUUAUCUUAUUUGAUCAGGUGCUCUCACUUUGCCGAUCCAAUUUCUUUCAAUCAGAUGUUUACAUUUUUUUUCAAUGUGCUAUUUUCUUCAUGUUGAUUCCUACAAUACUUGUAUAUUAGGCUCUCGCCCCUUAUUUUUUGUGUAUUACUUUUGAAUACAUUCGUCAACCACGUAUAUUUAAUAAAACCACUUCUCGAUUGACUCAUACAUAUGAAGGGUGACUAAAGUUGUUUUGAAAAGAAAUGAACAUGAAAAUAAUUGCAGGGAUCCUAAACCGAUAAGCUUUGGUAUGAAGAAUAUCAAUAUAUUGUCUUUGUUUGGUAUGAUGGAAGUUUUAGUUAGUUGGCCAUUAUUAAGGUCAGAACUAGAGUCAUUGUUUGGCUGCACUUCGAUUUUUGUUAAGUUGAGCUUAAAUUUUAUUAGUUUUUUUGGCUCAUUGAGCUUAUAUUUUCUUUUUAUACAUGCAAAAUGGAACUGGAUUUAAUUGCAGUUAAAAAAUGCGCAAGUUCUGUGCCUGUGCCGCUGAUCUUUUUGUUUAUUUUGUGGCACUAACUCAUAGAUUAGAAAUCAUGUCUUCUCGGUAAGGGAACGUUGGUUUAGUACUAAUAUUCUCUUCUUCUUUUUUUUUUUUGUCUUGUAUCUAUUUAUUAUUUUUUUUAUUUUUUGCAUUUGUAUCAUUUUACGUGACAGUGGCUGUCCUAAGGCAUACCACCCAGCCUGUAUCAAAAGGGAUGAGGCAUUCUUUAAAUCCAAGGCAAAAUGGAACUGCAGUAUGUUUGGAUUAAUUAUUUAUCACUUUUAGUUCGAUUUAAUUAAUAUAAGUGCUGGGGAGAGUUGAAGCAUGAAUUCUACUGUCUAAUAUAUCGUAAAAUAUGAAGGUAUAAUGUGUCUCUGCCCUUUUCAGACCUUAUUUUGUUGCAAGAUAAUUCAUAGUUAACAACUCAAAAGAUAAGUAAUGCGCAUCCAAUAUUAUUAUAGCAUUUUUAUUUUUUGAUAUUAUAUAUUCUAGCUUAUCCAAAAUAUAAAUAUAAUGUUUACUAUAAUAUAUUUAUUUAUUUAUCUUAUUAUUUUUUUAAGACCUAUACUCGUGUUUUCAUUUUAAGACAUACACGGAUAAAGAAGGUAUCAGGCAGUAGUAGCUGUUGGCAUUUAUCCCAAGACAUCACAAGCACUACAUUUUACCGAAUUCUGUCAGCAAGAAGAUACAUUUUAGUCCACAGUUACAGACAGAUCCUAGGCAAAGUUAUCUCCAUGCUAAAUCUUGUCUUCAGCCUUCAGGCUUGCUGAGAACAUCCAAGAUGCAUAUGGUAAGGCAGCUAGCAUUGCUGAACAGGUUUUUCUCUUCUCUCCUGGUUCCAUUUCUUUCAACCAGACUUAUUUUUCUUAAUAUUGUUAAGUGAAUUUAAAUUGGCUAUUUUGCUUAAUGUUCAUACAGUUCUAACCCUAUUCUUACAUCAAUGGUGUAUGUUUCAAACCAGGCAUUAUUUUAUUUUCUAACCCUCAUUUUUUAGCAUACUUUUCUUAACAUGGAAGAAUAAGUUAUGAUUUCGACCUUGAUGUUGAUGGCAGUCGCAUUAUUUAACACCAAAACCCAUAUUUUACGGGUUUUUCAAAGAAGAAAAAUACUGAUAAUAGAUGGUCUCUGCAAAAAGAUGGGCUACAAGGACGCCAAGUUACUGAUGCUUUUCGGGCUCUGAUAGCCAAUGGCGUUGAAGCGGGGACUAUCCAGUGUGGGCGUCCAAAGGAACAGAAGUUUUGGAUCUUGUUUGCGUGUCGUGAUUCUUUUUUUUCUUCUCAAUUCUGAUGCUCAUUGCUUUGAGUUCAUUACAAUUCUGUUGCUUUCAGUUUCACGCUCAUUGCUUUGAGUUCAUUACAAGAUUUCCUUGAUUAAAUAAAAGUAUUAUGUCUUUUAUUA